GAUGAACGCUGGCGGCGUGCCUAAUACAUGCAAGUCGAGCGAACGGAUUAAGAGCUUGCUCUUAUGAAGUUAGCGGCGGACGGGUGAGUAACACGUGGGUAACCUGCCCAUAAGACUGGGAUAACUCCGGGAAACCGGGGCUAAUACCGGAUAACAUUUUGAACCUCAUGGUUCGAAAUUGAAAGGCGCCUUCGGCUGUCACUCAUGGAUGGACCCGCGUGGCAUUAGCUAGUUGGUGAGGUAACGGCGCACCAAGGCAACGAUGCGUAGCCGACCAGAGCGGGGGAUCGGCGACACUGGGACUGAGACACGGCCCAGACUCCUGCGGGAGGCAGCAGGAGGGAAUCAUCCGCAAUGUACGAAAGUCUGAAGGAGCAAAGCCGCGAGAGUGAUGAAGGCUUUCGGGUCGUAAAACUCUGUUGAUAGGGAAGAACAAGUGCUAGUUGAAUAAGCUGGGACCUUGACGGUACCUAACCAGAAAGCCACGGCUAACUACGUGCCAGCCGCCGCAGUAA
rnacentral:rRNA from 1 species